CCAAGCCUAGGUUGCAUGAUAUAUUGUACCUUAUCAAAAGCUUUCAUUACAUAAUAUAUCUCUUUUUAAAUCAUUCAAUAACACUUUGUUGUAUCUUUGUAUUGAAAACGUCCGAAUUAAGUUCCUAAUCCCAAUAUUCAAACAAAUAUUUAAAAGUAUUUUGUUAUUCUAUAAAUGCUGCUUUGUGUAUGAAUCUGCACUUGAUUUACAUAAACUUCCUGUCUUCGAGUAUUAUCUCGAGGUGUGAUCUGCGGAGGGAACGCAGCCGGGUGAUUCGACAAGAAGCCACACGCAGGACCAGUGGAGGAUGCUGGGAGUAAACUGGGAGACCCACACACACCAGACCUUCAGCUUCUCUCGUCAUCAGCAUCGUGUUUGGAAACGGGUAAUCAACCGGUCCGGUGUCUUUCAGUUCUGCUCUGCGACGCCUCCCCCCCCCCCCCUCGCAGCACUCUGCUCCUCCGGAGAGACUCUUGUUUUUGUUGCCGGCGGAUCCCUGAACUCUCUUCUCUCUCUCUCUGCUGACUCGGGAGAUGCAGCGUUUAGGGAGACGGCCGUGAGUUUCCCUCUUUAAUUGUUUUCCUAACAGGCAAAUGAGAGGCGCGGCUCUCGUUAAUCGUGCUGACCUUCCCCCUAACCCGAGGUCGGGGGGGGGGGGGGGGGAGCGAGCUACUGUACCGGUUACCUUUUGAUGCUGUUUAUUUGGACAACAACAAAGGGGGAUCUCUCUUACUGUGUAUUUGCACCUGCAGUGAGGAUAGGAUGUCAUGGAAACCCAAAACAAGGUGGCCUCUUUUGCUGCUGCAGAUGUUUGUGAAAAAGACAAAAAGGGCCAGACUACACCCCCCCCCCCCCCCCCCCCACACACACACACACACCCCCUCAGUUCCUCUCUGUUCCUCUUAGCUUACAAAACAAGACGUCGGGGUCAGACGUCAGGGCUCAUCACUAAAGCCUCGGGGUAUUUACGGGGAGAUUCCUUCCGUUUCUUCUGACAGGUGAUUACUGAGGCAGUUUGGUGAAAGAGCCGCUGAACAAUAGUAACUGUUUUACUUUCUCCCCCCCCCCCCACCAGAGGUUUCACCCCUCUGGAUGGGAGUCAUUUCCGUGUCCCCCUUUUUGCGGGAAUUCAGAGCACAAAUACUGGCCGAGAGGUAACACACCUGACACCUGUGCAGAUGUCCUGCAACAUUCCUGACACCUCAGUGGUUCCCAACCUACGACAGACGCGUUUGUCUCUCUGGUCUCGCAGCGUAAAGCGACCUGAACAAUGGUUCUUCCGUCGAUCUCUUUGUGGCGGCCUCAGUUUUUCCUUCCAAUCAAACACGGCGGCCGCAUGUUUCACACUGAUUUACACAUGCGGAGGAGGAACUAAUGAGGGGAACCUGCAGCUGGAAUGGGGUUGUAAUAAAUACAAAAACCUGCAUGUGUGUACAAAGUGAGACCUGAAUUACACAAAAGUCGGAGAAAUAUUUUUUUAUUUCUAAAACAUCUUUGUGUAAUUACACAUUGGGCUUGA